AGAGCAUCUGGUGGAUGCCUUGGCGCUGAGAGGCGAUGAAGGACGUGGUACGCUGCGAUAAGCCUUGGGGAGCCGCGAACAGGCUGUGAUCCAGGGAUCUCCGAAUGGGGAAACCCCCCUUCGGCCCAGCCGUAUCCCGUGCCCGCGGGCAACCGCGGGUGGGGGCUACGGUUGGGCCCAUGAAGGGAUCAGGCCCUGAAUGCAAUAGGGGUUUGAGGCGAACCCGGGGAACUGAAACAUCUAAGUACCCGGAGGAAAGGACAUCAACGAGACUCCGUCAGUAGUGGCGAGCGAACGCGGAUCAGGCCAGUGCCUGGCAUGAGUUUACCGGAACGGUCUGGAAAGGCCGGCAGAACGGGUGACAGCCCCGUACGGGACGGACGAAUGCCGGGCCACGAGUAAGGCGGGACACGUGAAAUCCUGUCUGAAGACGGGGGGACCACCCUCCAAGCCUAAGUACUCCUCAGCGACCGAUAGCGAACCAGUACCGUGAGGGAAAGGUGAAAAGCACCCCGACGAGGGGAGUGAAACAGUUCCUGAAACCGGAUGCUUACAAACAGUGGGAGCCCAAGAUUCGUUCUGGGUGACCGCGUACCUUUUGUAUAAUGGGUCAGCGACUUAAAGUUACGAGCGAGCUUAAGCCGGUAGGCGUAGGCGCAGCGAAAGCGAGUCUGAACAGGGCGUUGUGCGAUCUUUGAUCGCCCAGUUCGUGGCUUUAGACCCGAAACCGAGUGAUCUAGCCAUGCGCAGGAUGAAGGUGCGGUAACACGCACUGGAGGUCCGAACCAGUGCCCGUUGAAAAGGUCUUGGAUGACGUGUGGCUAGGGGUGAAAGGCCAAUCAAACUCGGACAUAGCUGGUUCUCCGCGAAAGCUAUUUAGGUAGCGCCUCGCGUGUAUGCCUUGCGGGGUAGAGCACUGGAUGGGCUAGGGCCGCCCACAGCGGUACCGCACUCAACCAAACUCCGAAUACGCAAGAGCUUGCGCGGGAGACACACGGCGGGUGCUAACGUCCGUCGUGGAGAGGGCAACAACCCUGACCGACAGCUAAGGCCCCCAAUUCGUGGCUAAGUGGGAAAGGAUGUGGGAAUCCCAAAACAACCAGGAGGUUGGCUUAGAAGCAGCCAUCCUUUAAAGAAAGCGUAACAGCUCACUGGUCUAGUCAAGGGUUCCUGCGCCGAAAAUGUAACGGGGCUCAAGCCACGAGCCGAAGCUUCGGGUGCAUCGUGAGAUGCGCGGUAGCGGAGCGUUCCGUAAGCUGAUGAAGCGGCACCCGCGAGGGGCCGUGGAGGUAUCGGAAGUGCGAAUGCUGACAUGAGUAACGACAAAGAGUGUGAAAGACACUCUCGCCGAAAGUCCAAGGGUUCCUGCGUAAAGUUAAUCUGCGCAGGGUUAGCCGGCCCCUAAGGCGAGGCCGAAAGGCGUAGUCGAUGGGAAUGGGGCGAACACUCCCCAGCCAGCGGAUGGUGACGGAUGCCGUGUGUCGUUCGACCUUAUCGGAUUGGUCGGGCGGCGAAGGGGUCCCAGGAAACAGCCUCCGCGCGAGACCGUACCCGAAACCGACACAGGUGGACUGGUAGAGCAUACCAAGGCGCUUGAGAGAACGAUGCUGAAGGAACUCGGCAAUUUGCCUCCGUAACUUCGGGAUAAGGAGGCCUCCAGGGUGCGCAAGCAUCUUGGAGGGGCACAGACCAGGGGGUGGCGACUGUUUAUCUAAAACACAGGACUCUGCGAAGUCGAGAAGACGACGUAUAGGGUCUGACGCCUGCCCGGUGCCGGAAGGUUAAGAGGAGAGGUGCGAGCCUUGAAUUGAAGCCCCGGUAAACGGCGGCCGUAACUAUAACGGUCCUAAGGUAGCGAAAUUCCUUGUCGGGUAAGUUCCGACCUGCACGAAUGGCGUAACGAUCUCCCCGCUGUCUCCAGCAUCGGCUCAGUGAAAUUGAAUUCCCCGUGAAGAUGCGGGGUUCCUGCGGUCAGACGGAAAGACCCCGUGCACCUUUACUGUAGCUUUGCGCUGGCCUUCGUGUCGGCAUGUGUAGGAUAGGUGGUAGGCAAUGAAGCCCGGGCGCCAGCCUGGGUGGAGCCGUCCUUGAAAUACCACCCUUGGCGAGAUGGUGGUCUAACCGCGGCCCGUGAUCCGGGCCCGGGACCGCGCAUGGCAGGCAGUUUGACUGGGGCGGUCGCCUCCCAAAGAGUAACGGAGGCGU
rnacentral:rRNA from 1 species